AGCCUUCGCCCAGCACUUGGUGGACGUGGAAGCAGACACCCACAGUGUUAAGAACUGGAGAGCUAUCCCAAGAACACAUUGCCUUGGUCUUCUGGACAAAGAAUUAACAGAUUACACUGGGAAGUCAUCCUUUUCUUCUCUCUCCAGGGCAAGAAAAUGUGAGAGAAUUGACAUUUGUAUCUACAGAAUAUUCAAGCUGGUCUAGAAACCUGAAAGACAAAGCUCUACAUUCUAAGAAGUCAGUGUUAGAAGGAUGCCACCUUGAUAAACAUAAUGACAAGAAAUGGGACUUGUUCUCUGAAUCUUGAGAGCCCCAGAGCCCCAUGUGUUACAUAUUUGGCUGAAGUGUGACUUCCUGGUAAUGGAGUCUGCAGGAGGUGAAGCUUUGUAAAGGGUGUUGCCUCUUUGCUUCUGACUUUACCUGGAUCUAUUUAAACAAAAUUUCAUUUAAGUCCUGCUAUAAUUUAAAAACUGGCAGUUCGAAACCUAUUGGAGUUCAAGCUUCAAGCUGAAGAUCACAAAAGCAAAGCAUCUGGUCACUAGAUCUUACUCUAUCUCAGACUGAAAGGGUUGAUCCUGUCUCCAUGAGCUCACAACAAACCUCAGACU